CUCUUUAUGAAUAAAAUAAUAAGUUGACUCUGCCCANUGAUUAUUUAAUGGCUGCAGUAUUUUAACUGUACAAAGGUAGCAUAAUAAAUUGGUUUUUAAUUGAAAUCUAGAAUGAAGGAGGUGAUGAAAUAUAUACUUUAUUAAAUUUAAAAUUUGAAUUUAAUUUUAAAGUUAAAAAGCUUUAAUUUUUUUAAGGGACGAGAAGACCCUAUAGAAUUUUAUAUAAAUAAUGAUAAUAUAAUAUAAUUAUUUAUAUUUAUUUGGGAGGAAUUUUAAAUUUAUAAACUUUAAUUAAUAAUUAACAUAUAUAAAUGAAUUAUUUUAGAAUUUAUUAAUUAAAUAUAAAAUUAAAUUACCUUAGGGAUAACAGCGUAAUAUUUUUUUAUAGUUCAUAUUGAAAAAAAUGUUU
rnacentral:rRNA from 1 species